CGGACAUACCACACACGGGCAAAUCAUUUCAGCCUCCUAAAUCUCCUGCAUCUCUAUUCUCGUUCUCAACUCUGAACUUGCCCUCUCUCUGUUUCUGCGACUGCAAACUACAAAAUCUACAAGAAUCAGAUCAGCCUCCCAAAUCGCCUCCAUCUCUAUUCUAGUUCUCAACUCUGAACUUGCCCUCUCUCUAUCUUUGCAACUGCAAAUUACAAAAUCUACAAGAAUCAGAUCAGCCUCCCAAAUCGCCUCCAUCUCUAUUCUCAUUCUCAACUUUGAACUUGCCCUCUCUCUGUCUCUGCAACUGCAAACUACAAAAUCUACAAGAAUCAGAUCAGCCUCCCAAAUCGCCUCCAUCUCUAUUCUGGUUCUCAACUCUGAACUGCCCUCUCUUUGUCUCUGCAACUGCAAACUACAAAAUCUACAAGAAUCAGAACCCAUAUCGGCAUAUCAUUUCAGAUUGUUCAAAAAAUCAAAACCCAUAUCCUUCAGUUUCCAUCGCCCGUUGUUCCAGUUCGGGUUCGCAAUUCGCAAGCUUCAGCCUUUGGCCCGCUGUCUCUCAACUCUCAAGCCCUCUCUCUGCAACUGCUAACUUUCUUCCAAAGGGGUUGGGAAAAGACAACAAUGGGAGCGUCGAUUGCAUGGCCUAUCAAGUACAUCACAAUUUGUCAUAGCAUGGACGGUGUGGAGGGUGUUCCUCCUCAGCUGUAGACAGAGUCGGGGCUGGUGUUGUUGUGUUAUAUUCCGCAUGAUAGUUUAUGUUUUGUCUUAUAUUUCUUUAGAAUAUUUCUGGUAUGUAAUAAAUGUUAUUUUGCACUUUAAAACUUUAAUGUUGUAAUAUUGGCAUCUUAUCUAUUAAUUUUCAGUCUUAUUUUUGUAAA